GACGAACGCUGGCGGCGUGCCUAACACAUGCAAGUCGAGCGGGGUUGAAGCGAGGGGUAACUCGAACUUCUACCUAGCGGCGGACGGGUGAGUAACGCGUGGGCAACCUGCCUCAAGGUCUGGGAUAACAGCUCGAAAGGGCUGCUAAUACCGGAUAUGCCUAUAGCCUCGCAUGGGGCUAUGAGCAAAGGGGAAACCCGCCUUGAGAUGGGCCCGCGUCCCAUCAGCUAGUUGGUGAGGUGAAGGCUCACCAAGGCGACGACGGGUAGCCGGCCUGAGAGGGUGACCGGCCACACUGGGACUGAGACACGGCCCAGACUCCUACGGGGGCAGCAGUGGGGAAUCUUGCACAAUGGGCGAAAGCCUGAUGCAGCGACGCCGCGUGAGCGAAGAAGGCCUCGGUUGUAAGACUCUGUCUGAGGACGGAAGAAGUAGAGGUACCUCCGGACGGAAGGCCACGGCGUAACUACGUGCCGAGCAGCCGCGGUAACUAAGUCUACG
rnacentral:rRNA from 1 species